rnacentral:lncRNA from 1 species
AGGUUCUGUGAAGACAGGACUCUCUUCUUGUCUUUUUUAGCUAAACAAAUCAAGAACUUAAAGUAACCCUACUUGACACUAACUAAGAGAGUUCCCAAGUCACUUACUAGAGUAAGCUCACACCUCCAAAGAUCACUGCCCCCUUAGGAAGUGCUAGGCAAAUUGAAAGACUGUGAUUGGUUCCCAUAAAGUGGAAGAGUGACAGGAAGUGAUAUGAAGAAAACUGCUUUAAAAGGUCAGCUCAGGAUUCAGUGAGUUUCUCUGUGUAGUGAGCUGGACUGAAGGAAGAGACUUUUCCCCUGGAUCCUGUGUUGGCUUGCUAGUCGGAUCCUAUCACCUUUAGCCUAAUACCAUGUUGGUGAACCUAUGGCACACAUACAUGCCUGAGCAUGCCAGAGGAAACUGCUCCCUUUCCUCUCUCCAUGUGUGCCUGAGGACAUUUCUCCCAUCACCCACUCCUCUGCCCAGCAGCCUAAGGGAGUACUUCUUCCCUCCCUUGUCUGGGAGAAUCUUAUAA